GCUUUAACAAUGCACCGUCUAACUAGACUGGAUCUCAUCCACAGCAACCACAGGCAGCUCAAUGCCAACAGGGACAACAACAAAAGGAACCACAGGCAGCUCAAUGUCAACAGGGACAGCAACAAAAGCUGUCAGCUGUUUCAGGAAUAGAGUGCGUCCCGCCUCCUCCCCUUCAACCACCGGUCGUUUCACCCACGUACUCCGGGGAUCGUCAGCUGAAUGGCAAUCUUGAUUGGUUCCUGGGCACGUUCAUCACCACCACCAGUGUCUGGACUCCAUUGGGGGAUAUGUUUGGGUUCACUACCCCAUUUAUAACAUAUGGAUUCGAUGGAGUCUAAU